rnacentral:lncRNA from 1 species
CUCUGGAGCCCAUGGUCCUGGGGGUCAAGAUUCUGGAGCCCGCAUUCUUCUGACGGGGAUCCAAGGAGGUUCUGUCUGGUUCCAUGUGAACCAGUGGCCUGGAAAAGAUCUAGGAGCCAAGCUGGAGGAGACCACGUGGGGCUUUGCCUCUGAGUCAGAGUACACAGUGAUGCUGAGAGUCCAGAGAGGGACAAGUGCUCCAUUCUGCUCCAACCUCAUGGACAGGUACAAAGCAAGGGUCCAAGUGCCAAAUGUGACAUCCCUGAAGAUUGAGAACCGGACUCCACAGGACAGUGGGAGAUACAAGGCAUGCUCCUGGUUAACUGAUGCAACAGAAGUUCUCCAAAUUUCCCACCUCAAGGUCUAUCGAGAAGCUCCCACAGCUGACCUCAUUGGAGGCAUCUUCAGGGGAAUCACAGCGGUGCUGUUCUUCCUGGGAGCUGGACUGUGCCUGUGGAGAAUUCGAGACAAAAAGAAGAUGGUGGAAGCGGAAGUGGCAGGUUGCACUUCUCCUUAUGGGCAAUGACCUCCUCUCUCCCAGUGCACCCUGGGCUUUUCCCUCCUGCACUUUGCUACCAGGAAGUGGGUCCUGCAGAGGGGGCACUGUAUGUGACCAUGAUGGCUUUGGGUUCACGGAGGUGGGGGAACGUUACGGGUUCCUAGGCACAGAAUAGAGCUCCACUCUGUCAAUGACUCAGGCGCAGGACCCCUGGGGGACCACAAGGUCGAUGACAGUGGCACCUACUAUGUGCCAGUGAUGGACCAGGCAUCUCAUGAGGGUAAGGACAAGGUGAGGCCUGGGGCAGUAGCCAGACUGACCACUCACAGGAGUCACUGCUGGCUAUGUGCUCCCCAGACUGAAAAAAUAGCUCUUUCUGUUUCCAGGGUUCUUUAACU